UACAGAGGUCCCAAGCGUUGUUCGGAUUCACUGGGCGUAAAGGGUGCGCAGGUGGGCUGUCAAGUUUGAUGUGAAAGCCCCGGGCUUAACCCGGGAAUGGCAUUGAAGACUGAUGGCCUGGAGGAUUGGAGGGGGGACUGGAAUUCUUGGUGUAGCAGUGAAAUGCGUAGAUACCAAGAGGAACACCGGUGGCGAAGGCGGAUCUCUGGGCCUUACCUGACGCUGAGGCGCGAAAGCUAGGGGAGCGAACAGG
rnacentral:rRNA from 1 species